rnacentral:rRNA from 1 species
UACGUAGGUGGCAAGCGUUGUCCGGAAUUAUUGGGCGUAAAGAGCUUGUAGGCGGUUUGUCGCGUCUGCUGUGAAAUUUCGGGGCUCAACCCCGAACUUGCAGUGGGUACGGGCAGACUAGAGUGUGGUAGGGGAGACUGGAAUUCCUGGUGUAGCGGUGAAAUGCGCAGAUAUCAGGAGGAACACCGAUGGCGAAGGCAGGUCUCUGGGCCAUAACUGACGCUGAGAAGCGAAAGCAUGGGGAGCGAACAGG